GAUGAAGAACGUAGCGAAAUGCGAUAAGUAAUGUGAAUUGCAGAAUUCAGUGAAUCAUCGAAUCUUUGAACGCACCUUGCACCCUUUGGUAUUCCGAAGGGUAUGCUCGUUUGAGUGUCAUUGUACUCUCACACUCUCCGAUCCUAUGGAUUCGGGGAGCGGUGGACUUGGGUGUUGCUGCCUUUCCCUGUGGCUCACCUCAAAUGCGUCAGUGCACCUCUUGGUUGGACAUAGUACGGCGUGAUAAGUGUCUUCGCCGGCACCUCGCAAGAGGGUGGCCGAUCGGGAGCUCUGCGCUUUCAAACCGUCUUCGGACAAUUUCUGACAUCUUGACCUCAAAUCGAGUAGGACUACCCGCUGAACUUAAGCAUAUCAAUAAGCGGAGGA
rnacentral:misc_RNA from 1 species